AUGAUACUCCCUCCGUCCGGAAAUACUUGUCAAUGAAAUCUAGAUGUAUUUUAAUUCUAGAUACAUCCAUUUUCAUCCAUUUAUGCGACAAGUAUUUUCGGACGGAGGGAGUACCAC
rnacentral:pre_miRNA from 1 species